UCACUUUCUUCAACAAGGCAAACCUGCCUCCCCAUCAACAGUCAUUGAUUAAUGAUAAGAGUACAGGGCUUGAAAUUAACAGCGACUUGCACACCACUCAUGCACAAGUGUCAUGAUUGGCAGGUGACUCCGCCACUCCCACCUGACACUUUGACAGGCUGAGUUUUAUAUUCGGACCCAUGUCGCUUGCCAAAACGGAGCAUAGAGAUCAAUCACAUGCACGGUAACCCAUCCCAUAUGUCAUAGUCAACAAUUAGACAUUCAUAACAACGGCACAAUGAGGAGAGGAGACACUGGAUUGCGGUACCAAUCUAGCCAGGGGGAACGAAGAGAAGUGGUAGGUUCUCUUGCAGCGUCACCCACCAAAUCUCUAUGAACACCCUCUCUUUCCGUGGUGGACACCACUCAAAAGGGGUGUUCACACGGCACACAUUUGCUCCGGCGCUGCACCGAUGUAUUUUGUUGCAAUAUAUUUUGCACUGCAGCAAAUUGUCGUGUCUGCACCGGCACAUCGUCGGUGCAGCCCCACUUGCGUUCACACGGCAGUUUCUGCAGUGGAGCAAAACGACAGAAAACAAAUUAGCUGUCGUGUUGGUUCUUUUUAAACAUAAACUCAAGCGACUACUGGACAGGCAAGUCCUUCUCCUUCUCCGUGCCUUCUGCUCGAGAGUGACCGCCCCCGAAAACGUAAAUCAACGAUGACUUCAAUGACACUCAGAAAAGCAAA